rnacentral:rRNA from 1 species
GACGAACGCUGGCGGCGUGCCUAAUACAUGCAAGUCGAACGCAGUGGGGACGGGUGAGUAACACGUGGGUAACAUCCCAUCAGAGGGGAUAACACUUGGAAACAGGUGCUAAACCGAUACUGAUGGAUGGACCCGCGUUGCAUUAGCUAGGUGGGGAGGUAACGGCUCACCAAGGCCACGCUGCAUAGCCGAACUGUGAGUGGGUGCGCCCACACUGGGACUGAGCCACUGCCCAGAACCCUACGGGAGGCAGCAGGAGGGAAUCUACGGCAAUAGACGAAAGUCUGACCGAGCAACGCCGUGUAAGUGAAGAAGGUUUUCGGAUCGUAAAACUCGGUGGUUAGAGAAGGGGUAUCUAACGAGAAAGCCACGCUAACUACGUGCCAGCCGCCGCGGUAAUAC